UUCAGCAGCCAUAUCACCCUGCGACUCACAACUGGCAACCCACUGAAGCCAAGCAGGUGUGAGCCUGGUCAGUACCUGGAUAGGAGACCUCCUGGGAAAAACUAAGGUUGCUGCUGGAA
ensembl:rRNA 5S_rRNA 5S ribosomal RNA